UGAAUUUACUAAAGGGUUAAGAUGAUAAAUUUAAUUAAAUUUUUUUGCAGCAUUUAACAUAAAAGUUUGACAAAUUAUAAGUAAGGACGAAACGAAUCGAAAGUUAUAAUGAAGUUUAGACUUGUGAUUUAUAUAUUUCCUAAUUAAAAAUAAUAAAAAUAAUAAAAAUUGUGAAGUGAAUCAUCUUAGUAACAAUUAAAAAAAUCAACCGAAAAUUUAAAAGUAGCGGUGAGCGAAAUUUAAAAUAAGCAAAAAUAAUUUUGUAUUAAAUAUUUAAAAUUAUUAUACUAAAAAAGGUAAAAGUCCUGUGUAAAAUAUUUAGUUAAAUAAAAUUUAUGAUUAAAGUAAUGUGUUUGUUAUACAUGAAAAUAGGAGUACCACCUUCUAAGCUUAAAAUAUAAUUUGAUCGAUAGUGAAUGAGUACUGUGAAGGAAACUUGAAAAAAAUUAAAAAAAUUAAAAAAAAUUGAAUGCUAAUUAAUUACUCGAAGUAAUAAUAUAUAACGAAGUGCUUUUUGCAGAACGAGUCAGUAAGUUAAUUUAUAUAGCAAUUAAUUAUACAAAUAAAUUUAUUUUAAGUUAUAUGUAUUAGACCCGAAACCAAGUGAUCUAAUUAUAAACAAGUUGACUUUAAUAUAGUAAUUAGAUGAAGACUGCACUUUUAUAUGUAGCAAAAUAUAAAGAUGAUUUGUAAUUAGGAAUGAAAGAUUAAUCAAACUUGGUUAUAGCUGGUUUUUCACGAAAUGUAUUUUAGUACAACAUUAAUUAAUUAAUUUUUAGUGUAAAGUAAAUAAUCAAUUAUUUUUAACUUCAAAACUAAAUUUUUAAAAAUUAAUAGUCAGUCUAUAAGCGAUAAGGUUUUUAGACAAAAGGAAAACAAUCCUACUCGUUUGUUAAGGUAUUCAAUAUAUUAAUUUAGUAAAAAAGAUUUAUUAAAAUACAAAUAUUUAUCAUAGACUUAGAAGCAGUUUUUUAUUUGAGAAAGCGUUUUAGCUCAUUAUUAAUUUUUUAAUUAAUUAAAAAUUUUUGAUAAUAAAUUAUAAACCGAUACAGCGAAUAAAUUAUUUUAAAUAUUUUUUAUGGUAGUGAAACAUUUUAUGAUUAAAAUUAAUAAUUGAAAAAUAAAUUUUUUGAUAAAUAAAAAUGAAAAUGCUGACAUGAGUAGCGAAAAAUUAUGUUUAAAUCAUGAUCAUAGAAAAAAUAGGUUUUCAAUGUAAUUUUAUAUUCUUUGAGUUAGUCGGCUCCUAAAAAUUGUUUUAAUAAAUUAAUUUGAUGGUUAUUUAAUUAUUAAUUAAAAUUUUUGUUAACAUAAAAGUUAUAUAAAAAAUAUUUAAUAUUUAAAUUUUUAAAAAAUGAUAAAAAAAAUAUUUUUUAUAUUUUUCAAGAAAAAAAACAAAAAAAAAACCGUACUUAAACCGACACAGGUUUUUUUUAUAUGUUUGAAAAAAUUAUAUUAAAGGAACUUGGCAAAUUAAUUCUGUAUGUUAGCUAUAAAGAAUAUCUAAUUAAUAAAAAUUUAGAUAUCAAAAUCAAAAAACAACGACUGGUUAACAAAACCAUAAAACUCUGCAAAUUUUUUUAAGAUGUAUAGAGUUUGAAGCCUGCCCGGUGCUUAAAGAUGAAAUAGUUAAUUUUUAAAUUAAAUAAUAAGUAUGAGUAAACGGCGGUUCUAACUAUAAGAAUCCUUAGGUAGCGAAAUUCCUUGACGGGUAAAUUCCGUCCUGCAUGAGUGGCUUAACGAUUGUUUUACUGUCUCUAAUAUAAAUUCAGCGAAAUUACAAUAUUCAUGAAAAUGUGAAUUAUUUACAAUAAGACGGAAAGACCCUAGAUCCUUUACUUUUAUCUUAUAUUGUAAAAAAUUAAUAUAAAUAAAGAAAAAAAUGGGAGUUAAUAAUGUAAAUGAAAUACCAUUUAUAUAUUUUAUUUUUUACUUGAUAAAUUUAAAAAAAUUUUUUAAUAAAUAAUAUUAAAUUAUUUUUAAAAAAAAUUUAAGAAAGAAAGUUUACUUGGGAUGAGUGCCUCCUAAAAAGUAACGGAGGUGUACAAAGGUAAAAAAUUUGUAUAAUAGCUUUAUUUUACUUGAUAAUAAAAUUAAUAUAUUAAAUUAGGAUGCAAGUCAGUUAUAAUGACCCGAAUUUAUGUGUGGAAAUAAAUUCGUUCAACAGAUAAAAGGAACUCUAGGGAUAACAGAUUCAUCAUGAUUUUAAGUUCUUAUUAAAAUCAUGGUUUGAUACCUCGAUGUCGACUCAUCUUAUCCUGAAAUUGUAAAAUAUUUCAAGGGUCUAGUUGUUCGCUAGUUAAAAAGGUACGUGAGUUGGGUUCAGAACGUCGUGAGACAGUUCGGUCCCUAUCUAUUGUAAAAAAAAAAAAUUAAAAGAAUUAUUUUUAGUACGAGAGGACCAAAAUAUAUUAACCACUAGUGAAUUGAUUAAAAUUAUAUCUAGUAUAUAGUCAAGUAGCUACGUUAGUUUAAUUUAUAUACUGAAAGAAUCAACGGUAUCAAAAUUACUUUAAAAAUUUUUUUGAACAAUCUAAAAAAAAAUUAGAUAGAUCGAUCUAAACUUAAUUUUUAGUAAUAAAAAAAUUAUAGACACGAAUUUGUCAAAAAAUUAAUUAAAUUUAUCAA
rnacentral:rRNA from 1 species